ensembl:snoRNA
GUUUGUGUGAUGAUUUUACUGUAAAGUCGGAUACCCCUUCACUCUUUCUGAGUGAUAACUUCUAUCUGACAAAC